AACGAACGCUGGCGGCAGGCCUAACACAUGCAAUUCGAGCGAGGACUUCGGUUCUAGCGGCGGACGGGUGAGUAACGCGUGGGAAUGUGCCCUUCUCUACGGAAUAUCCCUUGGAAACUGGGAUUAAUACCGUAUACGCCCUAUUGGGGAAAGAUUUAUCGGAGAAGGAUCAGCCCGCGUUGGAUUAGGUAGUUGGUGGGGUAAUGGCCUACCAAGCCGACGAUCCAUAGCUGGUUUGAGAGGAUGAUCAGCCACACUGGGACUGAGACACGGCCCAGACUACUACGGGAGGCAGCAGUGGGGAAUCUUAGAAAAUGGGGGCAACCCUGAUCGAGCCAUGCCGCGUGAGUGAUGAAGGCCUUAGGGUUGUAAAGCUCUUUCAGCUGGGAAGAUAAUGACGGUACCAGCAGAAGAAGCACCGGCUAACUCCGUG
rnacentral:rRNA from 1 species